rnacentral:rRNA from 1 species
UUAAGUGACGAUAGCCUAGGAGAUACACCUGUACCCAUACCGAACACAGUAGUUAAGCCCUAGAACGCCUGAAGUAGUUGGGGGUUGCCCCCUGUUAGAUACGGUAGUCGCUUAGC